rnacentral:tRNA from 1 species
GAAUAUGAAGCGAUAUAUUGCAUUUAGUUUCGACCUAAUCUUAGGUAAAUACACCCUU